rnacentral:rRNA from 1 species
UACGUAGGGUGCGAGCGUUGUCCGGAAUUAUUGGGCGUAAAGGGCUCGUAGGCGGUUUGUCGCGUCGGGAGUGAAAACCUUGGGCUUAACUCAGGGCUUGCUUUCGAUACGGGCAGACUAGAGGUAUGCAGGGGAGAACGGAAUUCCUGGUGUAGCGGUGAAAUGCGCAGAUAUCAGGAGGAACACCGGUGGCGAAGGUGGUUCUCUGGGCAUGAUCUGACGCUGAGGAGCGAAAGUGUGGGGAGCGAACAGG